AAAUUGAAGAGUUUGAUCAUGGCUCAGAUUGAACGCUGGCGGCAGGCCUAACACAUGCAAGUCGAACGGUAACAGGAAGCGCUUGCUGCUUCGCUGACGAGUGGCGGACGGGUGAGUAAUGUCUGGGAAACUGCCUGAUGGAGGGGGAUAACUACUGGAAACGGUAGCUAAUACCGCAUAACGUCGCAAGACCAAAGAGGGGGACCUUCGGGCCUCUUGCCAUCAGAUGUGCCCAGAUGGGAUUAGCUUGUUGGUGGGGUAA
rnacentral:rRNA from 1 species